CCCUUAGAUGUUCUGGGCCGCACGCGCGCUACACUGACGAAUGCAACGAGCUUAUAACCUUGGCCGAAAGGUCUGGGUAAUCUCCAAAUUUCGUCGUGAUGGGGAUAGAUUAUUGCAAUUAUUAAUCUUCAACGAGGAAUGCCUAGUAAGCGCAAGUCAUCAGCUUGCGUUGAUUACGUCCCUGCCCUUUGUACACACCGCCCGUCGCUCCUACCGAUUGAAUGAUCCGGUGAGGCCCCCGGAAUGUGGCAACGGCUUCGGUUCGCCGAACUGAUGCUGCGUGAAGCUGUCCAAACCUUAUCAUUUAGAGGAAGGAGAAGUCGUAACA
rnacentral:rRNA from 1 species